GAAGGGAAGGCGUGCGGUUUGUAGAGAGGGCGGAGGGAGGGAGGAGAAGACGAAAAUCAACUGCAACAAGUUCAUGGAUAGGGUCGCAGCAAUGAAGACCCCUCGGCAGUAGAUUCAAGUCAAUCUUGGUUUUUUGGCCGAUUUGGAGUAGGUUUACACUAAAAUUGAGAAAACACAUAUGAACGCAAAGGCUCGAGGAUGUAUGACAACUUGGAAAAGGUAACUCUCGAAGAUGUCAGGUUUGAGAAGGGAAAAGGUACUGUGAAUUGGGACCCGACAAUCCACCAUACGCUGCCAAGUUCUACAACUGUUGUGGGGCUGCACGACCAGUUUCCAUGUUUCGUAUGAUGACGAUUGAUCCAUACGCUCUAAAUGCUUGAGGAAAAAUGAGAGUACUACAGAAGGCUGCUGCAAAAGGCUGCCUUGAUCAUUAGUUGGUGAUGUUUGGGAGAUUGAGAGUAGGAUAGGAUAAUUUGUUCAUUUGCGCUGGCACUGAUUUCUAUCCAUUUUGAGAGGAAAGCAGAUUUGGGUUCCAACUAAUCCUCGAGGGACUGAAAGCCUGGCGCUUGGUAUCAUUGCAUCUGAGUCGGAUUUCUAUCUUCGCCGACUAUGGGGUCUGCCCAGUGAGGUGGAACUUGUAGGACUUACUUGUCAAGCCAAAGUAUCUUGUAACCUUUACCGUAGGUUGUGCUCAGAAAAAUAACGUUGAUGCAGCAGUUAAAUGGGUCAGUUCUCUCAACAAUAGCGAAGUUCACAUGUAAGAUUGGCAUGACAUGUUUAAACUCUUUGGAAACAGAGUGUUCAAACACUUUUCAAAGUUUGAGUCCCAACAUUUGUUCAAAAUUGUAUAAAAGAUCAGUUAUGCAAA